GUGAACCUGCGGAAGGAUCAUUGUCGAGACCCGAGGAUUCGAAGAACAAACUGACGGUAGAUAUGUCCAUCAAGUAUGCCGCUCCGGUGGGGUGUGUGUACACGAUUGGAUUCUAGAAAUAGCAUCCAGUCAUGGCCAUCCCUAUUCGGACGGAUUACGUCAUGCCGUUUCUCCCCCGUCUUACGGGGGGCUACGACGGACAAACCGGAAAAACUGGCACGGUACGUGUCAAGGAUCUUCAUUGUAGCCUCUCCGUUCAGCGUGGCGUCGGGUUUUUACGACUCUCGCCCGCUUGCGGGAGCUAUUGAAAAGUCAUAUCUAUGAUGACUCUCGGCAACGGAUAUCUAGGCUCUCGCAUCGAUGAAGAACGUAGCGAAAUGCGAUACUUGGUGUGAAUUGCAGAAUCCCGUGAACCAUCGAGUCUUUGAACGCAAGUUGCGCCCGAGACCUUCGGGUCGAGGGCACGCCUGCCUGGGAGCCAUGCCUCGUGUCGCUCCGUGGACCCGAAGCUCCGGCAUCGGGAUAGACGGAAGCGGAUAUUGGCAUACCGUGUCCUUCGUGGUGCGGUGUGCUGAAGAACGGGAUGCCAAUGUGGGGCACGACUAGUGGUGGAUGGACAGCUCUAUUGGCCGAGGCCGAUGUCGCUUCCCUCCCUUGGCAUCCAUCAGGCACGAUCCUUUCGACGAAGAAGGGAUCCUUGCCGCUCGCGUUGCGACCCCAGGUCAGGCGGG
rnacentral:rRNA from 1 species